rnacentral:rRNA from 1 species
GAUGAACGCUAGCGGCAGGCCUAACACAUGCAAGUCGAGGGGUAGAGUUCUUCGGGACUUGAGACCGGCGCACGGGUGCGUAACGCGUAUGCAAUCUACCUUAUACAGGGGAAUAGCCCAGAGAAAUUUGGAUUAAUGCCCCAUAGUGUUAUAGAAUCGCAUGGUUUUAUAACUAAAGUUCCAACGGUAUAAGAUGAGCAUGCGUCCCAUUAGUUAGUUGGUAAGGUAACGGCUUACCAAGACAAUGAUGGGUAGGGGUCCUGAGAGGGAGAUCCCCCACACUGGUACUGAGACACGGACCAGACUCCUACGGGAGGCAGCAGUGAGGAAUAUUGGUCAAUGGGCGCAAGCCUGAACCAGCCAUGCCGCGUGCAGGAAGACGGUCCUAUGGAUUGUAAACUGCUUUUAUACAGGAAGAAACCUCCCUACGUGUAGGGACUUGACGGUACUGUAGGAAUAAGGAUCGGCUAACUCCGUG